CUUCCCAGAAACAAGGAGGUUCAUGUCAUCCCACCAGGGCUUCGACUUGCUGCAUUGAAUAACCAGGAACUGACUUUCUGGUUAUGGCUGGAUAAAAGCACUGGGUGAUGGAUGGGGUCAGGGAUGUUUCACAACAGCCACUCAGGAGACCUGGGAACAAAACCAGUCACUUACCGGAGAGGCCGUUCAUGGACCAGUUGCUCAUGUUCCCAGAUCCAGUGACCCUUCUCCUGGAUGUUGCUGAUUUUUAGAAGAAAAGCCAGUGGGCUCCCAGACAAAGUUAAAAAAGGACACUGAGCUGUGGAGGGGUUUUGGUAGCAGCAAUUAUUUUUCAAACUGGGAAGAUAUGAAUGAUAAAGGGACUGUGUCAGCUGCGGGGCUGUAGAUUCCAUGCCUUUUCCUAAACACUAUGAUUCAACCCUCCCACUGGAGUCUGCCUGGUGG
rnacentral:lncRNA from 1 species